rnacentral:rRNA from 1 species
UAAGUAUAAACUGCUUUAUACUGUGAACCUGCGAAUGGCUCAUUAAAUCAGUUAUAGUUUAUUUGAUGGUCCUUACUACUCGGAUACCCGUAGUAAAUCUAGAGCUAAUACGUGCGUAAAUCCCGACUUUUGGAAGGGACGUAUUUAUUAGAUAAAAGGCCGACCGGGCUUCUGCCCGACUCGCGGUGAAUCAUGAUAACUUCACGAAUCGCAUGGCCUUGUGCCGGCGAUGUUUCAUUCAAAUUUCUGCCCUAUCAACUUUUGAUGGUAGGAUAGAGGCCUACCAUGGUGGUAACGGGUGACGGAGGAUUAGGGUUCGAUUCCGGAGAGGGAGCCUGAGAAACGGCUACCACAUCCAAGGAAGGCAGCAGGCGCGCCAAUUACCCAAUCCUGACACAGG